rnacentral:rRNA from 1 species
UUUAUGGAGAGUUUGAUCCUGGCUCAGGAUGAACGCUGGCGGCGUGCCUAAUACAUGCAAGUCGAGCGAACAGAUAAGGAGCUUGCUCCUUUGACGUUAGCGGCGGACGGGUGAGUAACACGUGGGUAACCUACCUAUAAGACUGGAAUAACUCCGGGAAACCGGGGCUAAUGCCGGAUAACAUGUUGAACCGCAUGGUUCUACAGUGAAAGACGGUCUUGCU